rnacentral:lncRNA from 1 species
GGCGUGCAACCCGAUCCUCCAAUAUAUCGAUUUCAAUCAAUCCUUAUAGAAGAAAUUUUCCCAAUAAAUGCAACAAUUAAUAUAAAAAUAUAAGACAACAAACAUUCGAUAAUUAUGAUUUAAUUAUGAAACAAACAAUGACAAAUAGCAAAUUAUUAUGGAAAUCAAAGAGAAAAUAGGCAGUUUAAUAUAUAAUAUGCUAAAUGUCAAAUAAUAAUUAAAACACAUAAUUCAAAUAGCAUGUAAAAAUUAAUACAGAAAUUCAAGAAUUAAUAUAUGACAAAGAAUAAGAGAGAAAAAACUAUUAUAAUAAUUAAUUUAUGAUUUAAAAUAAUUUGUGAUUUUUCAAGUAAGCAGACAAACAAUUAAUUUCACAAUGUAUAGACACUCGUCACCUCGCCUAUACGUCGUUCACAUGCUUUUCACAUAACAAAUAAUUUAAGGGUUUCAUUCCCUCAAGUCAAGGUUAACCACGACACUAACAUCGCUUUGCAAAUUCCAAUGAAUUACUCGACCACAUCGUUUCCUUUUAAAUUUAUCCCCCAAAGCGUCAAAUCUAUUCACAAACAAUUCGAUAUACUCAAUACGAAUCAUAGAAAUUAAUUCCAUAUGAAUUUAUAAUUUUUUCGGAUAAAAAUCUAAAAUUUAUUAAAAUAUUCGGCAGUGGGACCCACAUCUCAAAUCGCAGAAAAACUUAUGAAAUCCAAACAUCCAUUCUGAGACGAGUCCAAUCAUACAAAAAUUAUCCAAUUCCGAUAUCAAAUGGACCUUCAAAUCUUAAAUUUUUGUUUUUGGAAGAUUUUAUAAAAAUCUAAUUUUUUUUCAUAAAUUCACAGAUUCAUUAUAUAAAUGAGUAUGAAAUCAUGAAACAUAAUCAAUAUAGGAUAAGGAACACUUACCCCAAUAUGUUUUCGUGAAAAUCGCCCAAAAAUCGCCUUACCCGAGCUCAAAAAUGGAAAAAGAUUGAAAAUGGGUCGAAUCCCAUUUUCCAGAACUUAAGAAAAAAUCUUCCUAACACCAAAAUGCCUUCUGCGAUUGCUGUCACACCUCUUUUUUUUCGCACAACCCUAUUACGAGGUUGAGUUUGAAGAGUUUUUCUAAUUAAAAUGACGUUUUGAAAAGGGAUUAUUUAUUAUUUGGAACCACCACUUGGAAUUGAGUUUUGGUGUUCCAAGUCACCUUUUAUUUGAAUUCCUUAUCAAAAGGAAGGUUUGACUCCCAAUUUAUGGUCUACGAAAAUAGAAGAUUGAGUAAGGAAUUAUAUUGACCGAAGGGAAGGUGCAAGGCACCCUUCAAGUUCUGUGAUUCUAGCACGGUCGCUCUUAUUGACUAAUGUAAGGCUUAAAUUAAUUUUUGGCUAUUCUUGUAUUGUAUUGGUUAUGGUUUGCCUAUUACCACUUAAUUAAUUAUUGUAUUUUAUUAAUUGUGUUCACCAAGAUGCGGUACGCACACAAGGUAUUCUUCUUUGAAGUUGGAUGUUAAACCAAUGUAUGAGAAUGUAUGAUCCUUUUAUUAUUUAAGCAUAUCGAUCCAAGGUUCGGGUAUGAACAUAUGGGCUUAUAGCGUAUUUAGAAUAUUUAAUUAUUUUGUCCCUUUUAUAUUCGAGAUAUUUAAUUGUAUAUUUUUAUUAUUUGGCUUAAUAAUUUUGGAGUUAAUGUACAGUAUUUAUUUUACGGAAAAAAUUGAGGCAGCUUAUAGCUCCAUUAACUUUGAGCAUAGAAUUUUUUUAAAUAUAUUUUACCCACUAUUUGGUUUAUUACUUUAAAUCUAUACAACCUAACUACUAAUAACUUCCCUAUAAUGCUACAUCAUCAAUAAUGUAAGAAAAAUAUUCAAACUACUUAAAAAUAAACAUAUUUAUAAUUAUUAUUUAAAGAAAAAGGCGAAUUAAAACUUUGAGAGAAGCCAUUAAAAAUUCCAUUAAGUUGAUUCUGCAGACUUACCUAUUGUUAGAGCAAAGCCGAAAUCAUACCUUUAUACUAUAUUAACAAAACAAUUCCAGCCCACACAGAGGCACUAGGAAGCAAUGUAGUAAAAUUUCUUAGAAUGAAGUAAAAAAAAAAAAUUAUGGAAUUCUUUAACUAAUUUUCUAAUGGUGAAAUAAAAAUUAUCUAUGUCCCCAAACUGAAUUAAAAUAGCUAACAUCACUCUAAAGCAAUUACGAUAAAUAAUCUGACAAACUAAUGAAACUAUAUUUACUAGAGGAAAGUCAAUAUAUAAAGAUAAGAAAUAAGAUUCUUAUCGAUCAAGUUUAUGCAAAUUAUCACAAGGGAAGCAACAUCCAAAUCCCACAAAAAGGUCUACGCAUACUCGAUCAACAUGAACGCGAAAUUACGUUGAAUGUACCGAAUAAAAGCCCUCAUGUCCUCAUGUUCAUAUAUAUGCAGAAACUCUUAGUCUUUAUAUAAUCUCACCAAUUGAAUUGCCAAAUUAAUCUCAUAUUUAAUAAUACAGAGUCUUAUGAAAUUAAUGGAAUUAACCAAGACAUGAUAUUAACUUUCCAGUUUCUAAACCUCAAAGGUCAACUACACAACAACUUAUUUUAAUUAGAAAACCAAACCUUCAAGAAUGCUUUAUAUUUUACAGAAGCUAAACAUUGUGACUAAGAAAUCUUCAUAUUUAAAAGUAUCGUAGAUAUUUUCAUAUUUAAAAGUAAUGCUAAGACAAUAGCCUUUAUAUCAACAAACAAAUCCAGAAUAGAACUAAAAUCUUUCACAGAUUAUUGUGCACAUACAAUAACUAAGCAAGAGAGGAAUAAAAACCUUUGCAGUGAAGCUUUUCAAUAUAUUUUGAGAAAAAUCCGACAAUUACAACAGAUGAGGGAAAAUUGUGACCGUGAACCAGAUCCCAAAACAUGAACUGAACCUUCGCCUCUCCUAAAAUUCUUUCAAAACUCUCUGAAAUCUCUUCUCUAAAUUUUUUUUACCUUCCUCUUAAUUUUAUUUUCUUCUCCAAAUUCUUGUUCCCCUUCUUCUUGAUUUGUGAAAUAUCUCGUAUAGAGAUGUGUGUGUUGUCCGUUUUUCUCCAGAAGUGGGGAUGUGGGGCAUGAUUUUAUGAGGGGAGACGUGAGUGUGUGCAAUUGCUGUGAGAUAUAUUAGGAAGUAAAAGUGGAGAUAGUGAGGAAGUUGGGGAAAUGGGGGCUUUGGGAGGAGCAGAUCGUGGGGGUUUGCUGGGAUUUAUGUUCCUUU